AGAUCUGAUCAACUUUUCUGAAAACCUAACACUGUCUAAGUUGUUGUGGUGCACUUCCUGCUUCAUCUCCUAGUCAACGUUUCUGCAAAGUCGCUUUGGAUUUCUCAGAAAACUGCCACAGUCACUGCCUAAUGCUUUCUGCUCUUGAAACUGACGAACCAGACAGAAUUGCUACAUACAACCCCAAAUGCAGACCUUAAAGGGGGUAUCACUGACCUCUCUGCUGUUCCGUACAAAGUAAUGAAGAAAAUGCAGCAAUAAGGCUGUGAAAGUUAACCAUUAAUUAAAAGUUAUCUUGCAAA